rnacentral:rRNA from 1 species
CGGCGAACGGGUGAGUAACACGUGAGUAACCUGCCCUAGGCUUUGGGAUAACCCUCGGAAACGGGGGCUAAUACCGGAUAUGACCUUGCCCUGCAUGGGGUUUGGUGGAAAGUUUUUCGGCCUGGGAUGGGCUCGCGGCCUAUCAGCUUGUUGGUGGGGUGAUGGCCUACCAAGGCGACGACGGGUAGCCGGCCUGAGAGGGCGACCGGCCACACUGGGACUGAGACACGGCCCAGACUCCUACGGGAGGCAGCAGUGGGGAAUAUUGCACAAUGGGCGGAAGCCUGAUGCAGCGACGCCGCGUGAGGGAUGACGGCCUUCGGGUUGUAAACCUCUUUCAGCAGGGACGAAGCGCAAGUGACGGUACCUGCAGAAGAAGCACCGGCCAACUACGUGCCAGCAGCCGCGGUAAGACGUAGGGUGCGAGCGUUGUCCGGAUUUAUUGGGCGUAAAGAGCUCGUAGGCGGCUUGUCGCGUCGACCGUGAAAACUUGGGGCUCAACCCCAAGCCUGCGGUCGAUACGGGCAGGCUAGAGUUCGGUAGGGGAGACUGGAAUUCCUGGUGUAGCGGUGAAAUGCGCAGAUAUCAGGAGGAACACCGGUGGCGAAGGCGGGUCUCUGGGCCGAUACUGACGCUGAGGA